GUCUCAGUCAGCCAAUUCGGCCUCCUGGGCGGCUGCGCGCUCAACCCCCUCCCUCCGUGCCCGUGCAUAGCUUGCUCCCUCUGCCCGCCUCAUUUUGGGGCGGUUGGGCUGCGCCCGUGGGGUAGGGUCCGGAACAAGCGACGGAGCCAAUGAGGCGCGGCGGCUGCAUCAGGCCGACUGCCAGCAGCGGCUGAGGUGGAGGCGGAAGGAGGCGGAAGGAGGCGGAAGGAGGCGGUGGCGGCGGAGGGGCAAGAUGGCGGCGCCCGUCCAGUUCUUCUGAGAGUGUUGGUGCUGUGGUGGUAGCGGGUGGCCCAGUAUGCCGUGUGCGCAGCCCGGAUCCUGGAGUGGGAGUAGGAGCGGGACCCCGAGCACCCGGCCCUCUGCGACCUGCGGCCCUGGCUGAGGUUGAUCAUCCGGGACUACCACCAGCCCCUGGAGAGCAGUGGCCUCUGGUCCUUAAACAAGGAGGACAUGUCGGAACAAGUCAUGCCUGUUUUGGUAAAGAAGUGGACGAAGAAAUGCACCAAGUCAAGGAAGGGUCACGGGCAUCAGCAGUCCAGGGAAGGAAGCAAAGCAAAUGGAGAAUGGCAUGUUGGUGACAGACAGUAUGGGGAAGCAACUACAGAGGUAAGUUGGGGGAGGUAGUGUGACUCAUACAGGCCUCAUGAUUUCACC
rnacentral:lncRNA from 1 species